rnacentral:rRNA from 1 species
GACGAACGCUGGCGGCGUGCUUAACACAUGCAAGUCGAACGAUGAAGCCGGAGCUUGCUCCGGUGGAUUAGUGGCGAACGGGUGAGUAACACGUGAGCAAUCUGCCCUUGACUCUGGGAUAACUGCGGGAAACUGUAGCUAAUACCGGAUACGACACCUUGGGGCAUCCCAGGGUGUGGAAAGAAUUUCGGUCAAGGAUGAGCUCGCGGCCUGCCAGCUAGUUGGUGAGGUAAUGGCCCACCAAGGCGACGACGGGUAGCCGGCCUGAGAGGGUGACCGGCCACACUGGAACUGAGACACGGUCCAGACUCCUACGGGAGGCAGCAGUGGGGAAUAUUGCACAAUGGGCGAAAGCCUGAUGCAGCAACGCCGCGUGAGGGAUGAAGGCCUUCGGGUUGUAAACCUCUUUUAGCAGGGAAGAAGCGAAAGUGACGGUACCUGCAGAAAAAGCACCGGCUAACUACGUGCCAGCCGCCGCCGUAA